rnacentral:lncRNA from 1 species
GGAUGGACUGGGAUUGAACUGGGAUUGAACUGGGAUUGAACUGGGAUGGACUGGGAUUGAACUGGGAUGGACUGGGAUUGAACUGGGAUGAACUGGGAUGAAUUGGGAGGGUCCCCAGGGGAUCCCCAAUCCCAGCUCGGGGCGUUCCCAGGUGGAUCCCAAAUCCCGAAUUUUGGGAUCCGUGAGGAUUCCCCAAACCCCUCCCGGGGCUCCCAGGAAGGGAAUUCCCAAUUCCCGGGGCUCCUUUUCCCAGGAAUCCCCUCCCCACCCCGCUAAUGAGAUGCAAACGGUUCAUUUGCAUAUUCAUGAUCUCAUUUAUCCUCGUCCCUUUCCCGGGAUCAGCCGGGUGACCCAAAAACCGGGAAUUUCCUCCCCAAUUCCCAGAAUUCUGAUCCCAGAUUUGGGGAUUUUGGGUCUCCUCGGUGGCGUCGGAAUUCCUGAAAUUCCCAGAAUUCCCAGAAUUCCCGGAAUUCCGAUCCCGGCUCCCUCUGGGAUUCCUUUCCCUCCCGGCACCGGGAAAUCCCACAGCGCUUUUGGGACCUCGGAUUUUGGGAUUUCCGCUCAAAUUCCUUGGAAUUCCCGAAGGUUUUCGUCCUUCCUUGGAUUGUUUGGAUCCCCAAAUCCCGCUGGGAAUUCCCAAAGGGAUCCCCAAAUCCCGCAGGGAAUUCCCUGUCCCCUCACCCGUUCCUCACCCAUUACUCACCCUUUACUCACCCAUUACUCACCCUUUACUCACCCUUUACUCACUUGUUCCUCACCUGUUCCUCACCUGUUCCUCACUCCUUCCUCACCCGUUCCGCAUUACUCACCCGUUACUCACCUGUUCCUCACCCAUUCCUCACGUGUUCCUCACCUGUUCCUCACCCAUUCCUUACCCGUUACUCACUCGUUACUCACCCAUUACUCGCCUGUUACUCACCCUUUCCUCACCCGUUCCUUGCCCGUUCCUCACCUGUUCCUCACCCAUUACUCACUCGUUACUCACCCGUUCCUCACCCGUUCCUCACUCGUUGCUCACCUGUUCCUCACCUGUUCCUCACCCUUUACUCACUCGUUCCUCACUCGUUCCUCACCUGUUACUCACUCGUUACUCACCUGUCCCCUCACCCAUUCCUCACCCGUUCCUCACCUGUUCCUCACCCAUUACCCACUCGUUCCUCACUCGCUACUCACCUGUUACUCACUCGUUACUCACCUGUCCCCUCACCGGUUCCUCACCUGUUCCUCACUCGUUCCUCACCCGUUCCUCACUUGUUCCUCACUCGUUCCUCACUCGUUCCUCACUUGUUCCUCACUCGUUCCUCACCUGUCCCCUCACCCGUUCCUCGCCCGUUCCUCACUUGUUACUCACUCGUUCCUCACUCGUUACUCACCCGUUCCUCACCCUUUACUCACUCGUUACUCACCNNNNNNNNNNNNNNNNNNNNNNNNNNNNNNNNNNNNNNNNNNNNNNNNNNNNNNNNNNNNNNN